rnacentral:rRNA from 1 species
AUUGAACGCUGGCGGCGGGCCUAACACAUGCAAGUCGAGCGGAUGAAGGGAGCUUGCUCCUGGAUUCAGCGGCGGACGGGUGAGUAAUGCCUAGGAAUCUGCCUGGUAGUGGGGGAUAACGUCCGGAAACGGGCGCUAAUACCGCAUACGUCCUGAGGGAGAAAGUGGGGGAUCUUCGGACCUCACGCUAUCAGAUGAGCCUAGGUCGGAUUAGCUAGCUGGUGGGGUAAAGGCCUACCAAGGCGACGAUCCGUAACUGGUCUGAGAGGAUGAUCAGUCACACUGGAACUGAGACACGGUCCAGACUCCUACGGGAGGCAGCAGUGGGGAAUAUUGGACAAUGGGCGAAAGCCUGAUCCAGCCAUGCCGCGUGUGUGAAGAAGGUCUUCGGAUUGUAAAGCACUUUAAGUUGGGAGGAAGAGCAGUAAGUUAAUACCUUGCUGUUUUGACGUUACCAACAGAAUAAGCACCGGCUAACUUCGUG